AGUAACGCGUGGGUAACCUGCCCUUAAGUCUGGGAUACCAUUUGGAAACAGAUGCUAAUACCGGAUAAAAGCUACUUUCGCAUGAAAGAAGUUUAAAAGGCGGCGUAAGCUGUCGCUAAAGGAUGGACCUGCGAUGCAUUAGCUAGUUGGUAAGGUAACGGCUUACCAAGGCGAUGAUGCAUAGCCGAGUUGAGAGACUGAUAGGCCACAUUGGGACUGAGACACGGCCCAAACUCCUAAGGGAGGCAGCAGAG
rnacentral:rRNA from 1 species